GGAGGUGUGCCAGAGCGGUCGAAUGGGGCAGUCUCGAAAACUGUUGUGUACGCAAGUGCACCGGGGGUUCGAAUCCCUCCACCUCCG
rnacentral:tRNA from 2 species